rnacentral:miRNA from 1 species
CUUCCAACCGGCAAGGUGCAUUCUCGCUGACUGGAAGGGUUUCCUUCCAGUCAGCGAGGAUGUACCUUGCUGACUGGAAGGAAACCCUUCCAGUCAGCGAGAAUGCACCUUGCCGGUUGGAAG